ACUCCUACGGGAGGCAGCAGUGGGAAUCUUGCGCAAUGGGCGGAAGCCUGACGCAGCAACGCCGCGUGAGGGAUGACGGCCUUCGGGUUGUAAACCUCUUUCGCGAUCGACGAAGGCCCGUCUUGUGGGCGGGUUGACGGUAGGUCGAGAAGAAGCACCGGCCAACUACGUGCCAGCAGCCGCGGUAAUACGUAGGGUGCGAGCGUUGUCCGGAAUUAUUGGGCGUAAAGAGCUCGUAGGCGGUGUGUCACGUCGGCCGUGAAAACCUGGGGCUUAACUCUGGGCGUGCGGUCGAUACGGGCAUCACUNGAGUUCGGCAGGGAGACUGGAAUUCCUGGUGUANCGGUGAAUGCGCAGAUAUCAGGAGGAACNCCGGUGGCGAAGGCGGGUCUCUGGGCCGAUACUACGNUGAGGAGCGAAAGCAUGGGUAGCGAACAGGAUUAGA
rnacentral:rRNA from 1 species